GCCGCUGUAGCGCAAUGGUAGCGCAUCGCUUUCCUAUGUGCAAAUGCCAGACGUUAGGCGGGGGUUGCGGGUUCGAUCCCCGUCAGCGGUU